UGCAAGUCGAACGAUGAAGCCCAGCUUGCUGGGUGGAUUAGUGGCGAACGGGUGAGUAACACGUGAGUAACCUGCCCUUAACUCUGGGAUAAGCCUGGGAAACUGGGUCUAAUACCGGAUAGGAGCGUCCACCGCAUGGUGGGUGUUGGAAAGAUUUAUCGGUUUUGGAUGGACUCGCGGCCUAUCAGCUUGUUGGUGAGGUAAUGGCUCACCAAGGCGACGACGGGUAGCCGGCCUGAGAGGGUGACCGGCCACACUGGGACUGAGACACGGCCCAGACUCCUACGGGAGGCAGCAGUGGGGAAUAUUGCACAAUGGGCGCAAGCCUGAUGCAGCGACGCCGCGUGAGGGAUGACGGCCUUCGGGUUGUAAACCUCUUUCAGUAGGGAAGAAGCGAAAGUGACGGUACCUGCAGAAGAAGCACCGGCUAACUACGUGCCAGCAGCCGCGGUAAUACGUAGGGUGCGAGCGUUAUCCGGAAUUAUUGGGCGUAAAGAGCUCGUAGGCGGUUUGUCGCGUCUGUCGUGAAAGUCCGGGGCUUAACCCCGGAUCUGCGGUGGGUACGGGCAGACUAGAGUGCAGUAGGGGAGACUGGAAUUCCUGGUGUAGCGGUGGAAUGCGCAGAUAUCAGGAGGAACACCGAUGGCGAAGGCAGGUCUCUGGGCUGUAACUGACGCUGAGGAGCGAAAGCAUGGGGAGCGAACAGGAUUAGAUACCCUGGUAGUCCAUGCCGUAAACGUUGGGCACUAGGUGUGGGGACCAUUCCACGGUUUCCGCGCCGCAGCUAACGCAUUAAGUGCCCCGCCUGGGGAGUACGGCCGCAAGGCUAAAACUCAAAGGAAUUGA
rnacentral:rRNA from 1 species